AUGCGCCAUCUCCAUCAUGCUCACAAUCUUCCCUGGUUGCUGAUUGGGGACUUAACCGAAAUUCAGUUUCUACACGAAAAAGAGGGUGGGAAUCCACGCCCACAACAGUAUAUAAAUGCAUUUCAAAAUGCUAUUGAUGAUUGUGAGCUAAGGGAUAUGGGUUUUUUGGGUGAUAAAUUCACAUGGCAUCGAGGACGGAUCCAAGAACGACUAGACAUGGGUUUGGUGAAUGAAGCAUGGGCGAAUCUUUUCCCCAUGGCAGCUUUGGAAAACUUACAGUACAAGCACUCGGAUCAUAGACCAUUGUUGGUCAACACUGAACACUAUACUAUGCCCGUUCAUGGUGAUACGUCUCCAACGUAUCUAUAA
rnacentral:rRNA from 1 species